rnacentral:rRNA from 1 species
UACGAAGGGGGCGAGCGUUGUUCGGAUUUACUGGGCGUAAAGGGCGCGCAGGCGGCUUUGUUUGUCAGGCGUGAAAGCCCCGGGCUUAACCUGGGAACUGCGUUUGAUACGGCAGGGCUAGAGUUCGGGAGAGGAGAGUGGAAUUCCCAGUGUAGAGGUGAAAUUCGUAGAUAUUCGGAAGAACACCAGUGGCGAAGGCGACUUACUGGACACAUAUUGACGCUGAGGUGCGAAAGCGUGGGGAGCAAACAGG